UAUUUGCCAGCGGGUUAAGCCGGGAACUUUUAAGGGAUACUGCCAGUGACAAACUGGAGGAAGGCGGGGACGACGUCAAGUCAUCAUGGCCCUUACGACCAGGGCUACACACGUGCUACAAUGGUUGGUACAAAGGGUUGCUACCUAGCGAUAGGAUGCUAAUCUCAAAAAGCCGAUCGUAGUCCGGAUUGGAGUCUGCAACUCGACUCCAUGAAGUCGGAAUCGCUAGUAAUCGCGGAUCAGAAUGCCGCGGUGAAUACGUUCCCGGGCCUU
rnacentral:rRNA from 1 species